CCAGGCGUGGUGGCUCACGCCUGUAAUCCCAGCACUUUGGGAGGCCGAGGUGGGCGGAUCACGAGGUCAGGAGAUCGAGACCAUCCUGGCUAACACGGUGAAACCCCGUCUCUACUA
rnacentral:SRP_RNA from 1 species